rnacentral:misc_RNA from 1 species
UCGCGUCCCCUUGGGGAGUAGCCGGAUUCCUACGCAGGAAUCGUCCACGUCAACAUACUCGGCCAGUGCGCCGUGGCGUGGACAACCAUGAUGGUUGGCGAGACCAGCGGCCCGCGC